rnacentral:rRNA from 1 species
CACUUACAGAUGGGCCCGCGGCGCAUUAGCUAGUUGGUGAGGUAACGGCUCACCAAGGCGACGAUGCGUAGCCGACCUGAGAGGGUGAUCGGCCACACUGGGACUGAGACACGGCCCAGACUCCUACGGGAGGCAGCAGUAGGGAAUCUUCCACAAUGGACGAAAGUCUGAUGGAGCAACGCCGCGUGAGCGAUGAAGGCCUUCGGGUCGUAAAGCUCUGUUGUUAGGGAAGAACAAGUACCGGAGUAACUGCCGGCACCUUGACGGUACCUAACCAGAAA